GACGAACGCUGGCGGCGUGCCUAACACAUGCAAGUGGAGCGACGAACCAGGGCUCGCCCUGGGGCCAAGCCGCGAACGGGUGAGUAACACGUGGGUAACCUGCCCCGAUGACCGGGACAACCCGAGGAAACUCGGGCUAAUACCGGAUGUGGUGGACACACUUAAGUGUGUCCACUAAAGGAAGCUUCGGCCUCCGCAUUGGGAUGGGCCCGCGGCCCAUUAGCUAGUUGGUGGGGUAAAGGCCUACCAAGGCAACGAUGGGUAGCUGGUCUGAGAGGACGAUCAGCCACACUGGGACUGAGACACGGCCCAGACUCCUACGGGAGGCAGCAGUGGGGAAUCUUGCGCAAUGCGCGAAAGCGUGACGCAGCAACGCCGCGUGAGGGAAGACGGCCU
rnacentral:rRNA from 1 species